AUUGAACGCUGGCGGCAUGCUUUACACAUGCAAGUCGAACGGCAGCGGGGUAGUGCUUGCACUACUGCCGGCGAGUGGCGAACGGGUGAGUAAUAUAUCGGAACGUACCGAGUAAUGGGGGAUAACCAAUCGAAAGAUUGGCUAAUACCGCGUACGUCCUGAGGGAGAAAGCGGGGGAUCGCAAGACCUCGCGUUAUUCGAGCGGCCGAUAACUGAUUAGCUAGUUGGUGGGGUAAAGGCCUACCAAGGCGACGAUCAGUAGCGGGUCUGAGAGGACGAUCCGCCACACUGGGACUGAGACACGGCCCAGACUCCUACGGGAGGCAGCAGUGGGGAAUUUUGGACAAUGGGGGCAACCCUGAUCCAGCCAUGCCGCGUGUAUGAAGAAGGCCUUCGGGUUGUAAAGUACUUUUGUUAGGGAAGAAAAGGGAAGUGCUAAUACCACUUUUUGCUGACGGUACCUAAAGAAUAAGCACCGGCUAACUACGUG
rnacentral:rRNA from 1 species